rnacentral:rRNA from 1 species
AGUGGACGCUGGCGGCGUGCUUAACACAUGCAAGUCGAACGAGAACGGAUUAUAGCUUGCUAUAAUUGUCAGCUAAGUGGCGCACGGGUGAGUAAUGUAUAGGUAAUAUGCCUCUUACUAAGGGAUAACAAAUGGAAACGUUUGCUAAUACCUUAUACUCCUUAUUAACAUAAGUUAAUAAGGGAAAGAUUUAUUGGUAAGAGAUUAGCCUGUAUUGUAUCAGUUAGUUGGUGGGGUAAUGGCUUACCAAGACUAUGACACAUAACUGGUUUGAGAGGAUGAUCAGUCACACUGGAACUGAGACACGGUCCAGACUCCUACGGGAGGCAGCAGUGGGGAAUAUUGCACAAUGGACGAAAGUCUGAUGCAGCAACGCCGCGUGGAGGAUGACACAUUUCGGUGCGUAAACUCCUUUUAUAUGAGAAGAUAAUGACGGUAUUAUAUGAAUAAGCACCGGCUAACUACGUGCCAGCCGCCGCAGUAA